rnacentral:piRNA from 1 species
UGCAACAAGUGUGCUCCAGCCACCAGUGUC